CCCAGGAAAUCUUGCUUGGACCCCAGAGCGCUCAGGCUGGGCCACCCGAGAGGUUGAAAACCACUAUCUAAUUCUGAGCUCAGGAAAAAAACAGAAACAAACUCGUAAUUCUGGAAUCUGAGAGGCACCUCAAGAAAGAUCCAGGAGAGACACCAGGAAAACCACCAGCUUCCGGGGUUUAAGGAGAGGUGCUGGAGGCAGCCAGACCUGUGUUUGAAUUCAGCCCUGCAGUCUAUUGGCUAGGUCUAAGGCUUAUUCUCUCACAAGGACCCCAUAAAGAAAGAGGGGACGUUUUCAUCAUCCCCAGGUUAAAGAGCCUGCCAGUUUAACCACGAAAAGAAGCACGAUAACUUGAGGAUGUGAAAGGCUGUCAGGUUUCCUUUCCAGCCCAUAGAGGGCCGAGAAGAGGAAGGACUGAGAUACAGAGAGGCUUUGCGUUUCUAAUCAGAAAAACCCGAGAUGAGGAAUGUAGGGUACGUUACGUUCACACUCGGCUCAGCAGCAUGUCACCUUGGGCAAAAGAGAA
rnacentral:lncRNA from 1 species